rnacentral:rRNA from 1 species
GGUAGUGACAAUAAAUACUGAUACAGGGCUCUUUUGGGUCUUGUAAUUGGAAUGAGUACAAUUUAAACCUCUUAACGAGGAACAAUUGGAGGGCAAGUCUGGUGCCAGCAGCCGCGGUAAUUCCAGCUCCAAUAGCGUAUAUUAAAGUUGUUGCAGUUAAAAAGCUCGUAGUUGAACCUUUGGCCUGGCCGGCAGGUCCGCCUCACCGCGUGCACUUGCCCGGCCGGGCCUUUUCUUCUGGAGAACCGCAUGCCCUUCACUGGGUGUGUUGGGGACCAGGACUUUUACUUUGAAAAAAUUAGAGUGUUCAAAGCAGGCCUUUGCUCGAAUACGUUAGCAUGGAAUAAUAGAAUAGGACGUGCGGUCCUAUUUUGUUGGUUUUCAGGACCGCCGUAAUGAUUAAUAGGGACAGUCGGGGGCAUCAGUAUUCAAUUGUCAGAGGUGAAAUUCUUGGAUUUAUUGAAGACUAACUACUGCGAAAGCAUUUGCCAAGGAUGUUUUCAUUAAUCAGUGAACGAAAGUUAGGGGAUCGAAGACGAUCAGAUACCGUCGUAGUCUUAACCAUAAACUAUGCCGACUAGGGAUCGGGCGGUGUUUCUAUUGUGACCCGCUCGGCACCU